UGGGGAAUAUUGCACAAUGGGCGCAAGCCUGAUGCAGCCAUGCCGCGUGUGUGAAGAAGGCCUUCGGGUUGUAAAGCACUUUCAGCGGGGAGGAAGGCGAUAAGGUUAAUAACCUUGUCGAUUGACGUUACCCGCAGAAGAAGCACCGGCUAACUCCGUGCCAGCAGCCGCGGUAAUACGGAGGGUGCAAGCGUUAAUCGGAAUUACUGGGCGUAAAGCGCACGCAGGCGGUUGAUUGAGUCAGAUGUGAAAUCCCCGGGCUUAACCCGGGAAUUGCAUCUGAUACUGGUCAGCUAGAGUCUUGUAGAGGGGGGUAGAAUUCCAUGUGUAGCGGUGAAAUGCGUAGAUAUAUGGAGGAACACCAGUGGCGAAGGCGGCUCUCUGGUCUGUAACUGACGCUGAGGCUCGAAAGCGUGGGGAGCAAACAGG
rnacentral:rRNA from 1 species